rnacentral:rRNA from 1 species
GAGACUGGAAUUCCUGGUGUAGCGGUGGAAUGCGCAGAUAUCAGGAGGAACACCGAUGGCGAAGGCAGGUCUCUGGGCCGCAACUGACGCUGAGGAGCGAAAGCAUGGGGAGCGAACAGGAUUAGAUACCCUGGUAGUCCAUGCCGUAAACGUUGGGCACUAGGUGUGGGGCUCAUUCCACGAGUUCCGUGCCGCAGCAAACGCAUUAAGUGCCCCGCCUGGGGAGUACGGCCGCAAGGCUAAAACUCAAAGGAAUUGACGGGGGCCCGCACAAGCGGCGGAGCAUGCGGAUUAAUUCGAUGCAACGCGAAGAACCUUACCAAGGCUUGACAUGCACGAGAAGCCACCAGAGAUGGUGGUCUCUUUGGACACUCGUGCACAGGUGGUGCAUGGUUGUCGUCAGCUCGUGUCGUGAGAUGUUGGGUUAAGUCCCGCAACGAGCGCAACCCUCGUCCCAUGUUGCCAGCGGGUUAUGCCGGGGACUCAUGGGAGACUGCCGGGGUCAACUCGGAGGAAGGUGGGGAUGACGUCAAAUCAUCAUGCCCCUUAUGUCUUGGGCUUCACGCAUGCUACAAUGGCCGGUACAAAGGGCUGCGAUACCGUAAGGUGGAGCGAAUCCCAAAAAGCCGGUCUCAGUUCGGAUUGGGGUCUGCAACUCGACCCCAUGAAGUCGGAGUCGCUAGUAAUCGCAGAUCAGCAACGCUGCGGUGAAUACGUUCCCGGGCCUUGUACACACCGCCCGUCAAGUCACGAAAGUCGGUAACACCCGAAGCCCA